rnacentral:rRNA from 1 species
UACAGAGGGGGCAAGCGUUGUUCGGAAUUACUGGGCGUAAAGGGCGCGUAGGUGGCCUUCUAAGUUGAACGUGAAAUCCCUGGGCUCAACCCAGGAACUGCGUCCAAGACUGGGAGGCUUGAAUCCGGGAGAGGGAUGCGGAAUUCCAGGUGUAGCGGUGAAAUGCGUAGAUAUCUGGAGGAACACCGGUGGCGAAGGCGGCAUCCUGGACCAGUACCGACGUUCAGGCACGAAAGCGUGGGGAGCAAACAGG